UGCGUAGGCGGCGUCAUAAGUCAGGGGUGAAAGCCCACAGCUCAACUGUGGAAUUGCCUUUGAUACUGUGGUGCUUGAAUCAGGUUGAGGUAGGCGGAAUGUGGCAUGUAGCGGUGAAAUGCUUAGAUAUGCCAUAGAACACCGAUUGCGAAGGCAGCUUACUGGACCUGCAUUGACGCUGAGGCACGAAAGCGUGGGGAGCGAACAGAAUUAGAUACCCUGGUAGUCC
rnacentral:rRNA from 1 species